CACAGGGUUUGUGAGGAGGGGUAGGGAUGGAAGAGGAUUGAGGAGAGUUAGGGACGAGCACUACAGGACACCUUAGUAUACAAAGUGCAGGGGCAAUACUUUCUACGACAAAAUAAAAAGUUACAGACUGCAGCUUUAACAUGCACUUUUCCAGUGUUUUACUGUUCAAAUAAGAUAUUUUUUACAGAACAUUUUCAGGAAAAAAAGAGACAAGACACAUUGUAAUGGAUAAUUUGUCUCCAGCACGUGGGGGCAGCAGUCCCAAGAGAAGACCCUGCUUCUGCGAGGCGCUGCCCAUUAGCCACUAUUUAUUUACAAUUCACAAAGUAAUACAGGAAGAAGUUUCUCUUUCAAUACAGAUCAAUCCUCUUCUCUAGCUUUUCCUCAUUUUCAUCACAUCAGAUUCACCCAUCCCCCGUUCUUUCAGUCUUUGGUUUCCACUCCCAAACAUGGCAUACAGCAGGAAACACUCCUACAUUCAGUUAUCUUUUCUCUCAGCAACUCCUUUAAAGGGGAAGUUCAGUAUUUUAGGAGCUAGCGGUUGGCUAACGUUUGUAGCGGUUGUUUAAAAAGCCCUGAAGCAUUGAUACGUUUCUUCUGGCCCCAUAGACUACUUUCAGGAUGAGAAACCAUCUGACAAAGUUGGAAAAUAGUGAACUUCCCCUUUAAGUUAACUGUUAACAUAUUCAAAACGUUGUUCGCUACUUGUGUAUUCAGUAUGUUGUAGUAUGUUGUUUCUACCUAUAGGUUCUAUAGGGUGCCGUUCUGGGUGGCAGUUUCUACCUAUAGGUUCUAUAGGGUGCCGUUCUGGGUGGCAGUUUCUACCUAUAGGUUCUAUAGGGUGCCGUUCUGGGUGGCAGUUUCUACCUAUAGGAUCUAUAGG
ensembl:lncRNA